CAGAGGUCCCAAGCGUUGUUCGGAUUCACUGGGCGUAAAGGGUGCGUAGGCGGUCGGAUAAGUCUGAUGUGAAAUCUCCGAGCUUAACUCGGAAAUGGCAUUGGAUACUAUUCGGCUUGAGGUCUGGAGGGGGGACUGGAAUUCUCGGUGUAGCAGUGAAAUGCGUAGAUAUCGAGAGGAACACCAGUGGCGAAGGCGAGUCCCUGGACAGGUCCUGACGCUGAGGCACGAAAGCUAGGGGAGCAAACAGGAUUAGAUACCCUGGUAGUCCUAGCCGUAAACGGUGUGUAUUUGCUGUAAAAGGAAUCGACCCCUUUUGUGGCGUAGCAAACGCGUUAAAUACACCGCCUGGGAAGUACGGUCGCAAGGUUA
rnacentral:rRNA from 1 species